rnacentral:rRNA from 1 species
CGCUUGAAGUCAGUCGCGUUGGCCGGGACUCAGCCUUGCUUUCCGCUUGGUGUAUUUUCCGCCGACGGGCCAACAUCAAUUUUGACUGCUGGACAAGGGCUGGAGGAAUGUGGCACCCUCGGGUGUGUUAUAGCCUCUGGUCGUAUACGGCAGUUGGGAUUGAGGACCGCAGCUU